GAUCGAUGUGAUUUUAUCCCUUAAAUAGAGCCGCUGUCCGUCUGUAAAAAUCUGAUUUUCGACCUUUAAACACAUUUGAACGAUGGUCUGACAGGAUAACAGGUGCAGCUCCUGAACCGUAUGUCUCAACUCUUAAAAUAAAAGACGGGGUUGUGCUACAGUGUGUUGUUAAAGGAGCUUCCCCUAAACCUGACGUAGAGUGGAGGGACAGAUCUGGAAACAUCCUUCAGUCUGAAUAAGCACAGGAGGGCACUAACAGCAGUCUCACAGUAGGAUUACGAAGAGGACAGAGCCCACUGUUGCACCCCCAUGUUGGACCAAGACUGCCCUGUUAACAAAUAUAAAGGAACCUGGUGUUGUCUGGGUAACAAGA